GAGGCACAGGCACGCGGAGUGUGUUUCGAGAGACGAGGACGCUGGCUCGGAUAGAGGAGGAGGAGGAGCGGGGUUGAGUUGCGCUCGUUUGGGAUCGGAUCGGCGGUACCGAGCCGCGGAGGUGGGACGACGUGGAAGACACGCGCGGAGAGUAGGAUCUCUUCUCUGACUGAGACAGCCAGCGACCGAUUGCGGCCUGCGGAGAGUAGGAGCCUCCUUUGAACGCCACUGCGCGGUACCACGACCCAGCUAGGCCGGGAGGCAUAGUCCUAUCCGCUAAACGGCCGGCCGCCUGCUCGUUCGUCGCCGGCAUCUCCUCUUUCUCCUGGCCUAGAGGGGAGGGGAAACGGGUGACAAGGAGAGAGAGUAUUCGGAGUCAGUCUAGGCAGGCAGAGAGUAGACGACAAAACGAAAGCUCAGAAGAUGAGGUACAAAGAGUCUAGACGCUUGCUAAGAAAGGAAGGCUGCUGAACGUAGACCCAACGACAAUAAGAAGAAGAAAAGAGAGAGAACAAGAAAGGAGAGCGAUCUCUCUUAUCUUUCUUUGCGCGGCCGGCACGAAGUCUAGUCUGGGGAGUGUUCAAAAGAGGCGCCACGGAGCGUUCAAUUUUAUAGCGGUCGACUACUAAAUGUAGACGAAAAACGCUUACGCAAAAAGAAGAAGAAGAAGGAAACGGGAGACAAAACAAGACAAGAAGAGUACAGUGUCUGUCUAGGCAGAGAGCAGAGAUCAAAAACUCACAAACUUUAAGUGAAAAAGGGAAACAAAGAAGUGGAAAGUCUGGGCGUCAGGAAAAAAAAAAAAUGGAGAGAAACCCCGAUAUAUAUGUCCGUCCAUGGGACGCAAGCAGUUGUGCUACCUGCCCGUUGUGGAAAGAGCUGUAGUUCCCGCCUUACCUACCGUUUCUGCCGUAACUUAUUCUCCUUCUCCUCCGUUGGCAGUAAGGGAGCACGGAUUAUAGAACGAUUCAUUGGAAAGGAAAAUGAAACAAUAAUAACAUUAACCACUUAAAGAACCAGUGUAUUACGAAAGGCCAGAUACUUAAAGAACUAUCGAAGUGUAGUCUUGAGACUUUUAUAUGUAGGUAGUAAACGUAGAUUUUGGUUAAAGUAGGUUUCUAUCGUGUAGCUAAUAUAGUAGAGGUUGUUUUAGGUCAAAGGUCAUAUUUGAUGAGAGAGACAGGCCCAAAUAAACCGGGGAGCAUAAAACCCAGUUUGAAACUGAUUGUUUUUAUGCUAAAUACACGAUGUGUUUCAUAUAGUAACCUAAAGGUCGGCAUAUUGAAACACUGUAUCAAAAUAAAAUAAUCAAUAUUUAAAUAUCAGUUUCGAACCGGGAUUUAUGAUCCACCGUUUAUUUGGGUCUGGCUCACUAAUUAACGAUCUUGUGCGUGUUUAUCACGUGGUUAUUCCGGAGGAAACCAAAUGUACUUCAAACGUCCUAUCCCAAGGAUGUCGUUUAUAGGGGAUUCUCGGGAAACCAGACAUCCUUACUUAACGAUAAGGUUACGUUUUAACCAAGGAUAAGAAGUAUAAAGUUUCCUUAUUUUUUUUUAAUCGAGGCUGGAACCCGGAGAAACUAAGUGUACUAAAAGUUUCGUGACCCUAUCCAUUAUACAUCCUUGUCCCACCGUACGGUGGAACUUAUGAUGUCCUAGACAGUCCUAAAAACUAACACGUAUCCUUCUUGCAUACUAAGAAAGUUUCUCCAACCUCAUCUACUUAAAAAAAGGUACUUUAAAUCACGCUUACUUAGGAUUUUUUUUCUUUUUAGUGUACCAAACGUUAAGUCACUUAGUUUAUUUGGCGUAUCCCUUUUAAGGAUUCCUAAACUUAGUGUCUAACGCGUAAAGGUUAUGAAAGGUUCGUGUUAGGUUAGGAAUUGUAAACGGACUUUUAUUCUAACGGCGGUUUGGUAGUGUCCAUCGUGUAAAGGUUACUAAAGGUUCGUGGUAGGUUAGUUAUUGUAAACGUACUUUUGGUAUAAUGUGAGGGUUUGGUAGUGUCUAUCGUGUAAAGGUUAUCAAGGGUUCGUACGAUGCCUGAAAACGUUUAUAUCUCGUCAAUUUUCAAGUGUCUGUACUGGGGUUGGUAAUCCGGAGCGAACCAAAUUUGCUUAAAACAUCGCGUAAAAGAUCUGGCUUCCGAACUUAUCACCGUGGUAUCCUUUUAAAGGAUAAGGAUACACAAAGGUGAAAUGAAACUUGGUUUUCUCAUGAUCCAAAGACAUCCAAAACAGUCUAGUCGCUGUUUGUCCUAUUUUCGUAAAUACUGACGAAUCGUACUGUGUGAAUAAUAGUAGUCCUUACUUUUAUUGUUUUUUCAAGUUUUUCGUACGUCCCUAAAGAGUAUUCUUAAUCGUGUUUACGGAUCUCCCUAGUUGUAUCUGAGAGGGUUCGAGUGUCCGUCUCGAGCCCUGGUACGUACGUAAGACGUUUAGAAAUAGGGGGGUUGCUACGAUACACGAACUACAGAACAUGUUCCACCCAAUACACGACGACACAACAAAGACAGGUCACACUUUUUCACCUUACGGUAUUUAUUUUAUCUUCUUACCUUCAACUAGGGGUCCUUUAUUUUCUUAUCCUUUUGUUCGUUCAACCGUCAUAAUAACAUAAAGGUUCCGACAUCGACAUGACUAAAGACUUACAAUUUAAUGAGAUAGUCAGAAGCAAUGGUAGAUAGAUAAUAUAUGGAUACUGUCUUCUGUACUACUGCAUCGGUCUUCUGAUCUCAUAGGCACAAUGAUUAUCGUAGAGUUAGGAAUUCCCUACGUUAGAGACAGGAAGGACUCACACGUCCGGUACCACCGCCGAUGACCGCCUCGGCUACACGGCGAUUCCAUAGAGGCCGGUAUCCGACAUCGCCUUCGCCAGUGGUCACUGCCACUCCGAGUCUAUGGGUAGUAGCUGAUGGGGCACCACGUACGGAGCUGUCAGGGACCAUCCUGACCCCGAACAAGGUCCAUUACUUCCGGUCGUAGGUUCUUAAGAAAGUCGAUGGGCCUCGUGGGUUCUUACUUCGUUUCCUCCGACUGACACUACAUGUAUAAGGUAUUUAUUUUCGGUCACUUUGACCAUAGCAUAGUGUCAAUUAAUUGGUGUCGCUGUACCACCUCCAUUACUUCCGAUCGUAGGUUCUUAAGAAACCCGAUGGGUAUCGUGGGUUCUUACUGGGUUUCCUCCGGAUGACGGUACGGUACAUAUACCUCAUAAGGUAUUUAUUUUCGUUCCUUUUGACCGUACCAUAGUGUGUGUACAACCUAAUCCGAUCAACCACUCAAGGUAUUAUACUAUCGCGAUUGAUACAGUUUUAGUCGUCGGAACUGUCGGAUGAAUACCUUUUUAGACACGUAGAAUAGGGGUUUUAAGUGGGUGAUCGGAUUUGUAUCGCAACUUUUCAUUGUCUUUUCUGUCCCAUCCUUUACAACGUUUAGGUACGGAAAAAUCUGAUUAUUAUUCGUUCAUCGUCAUCAUCAUCCUAGAGUCACACUUAUCUUAUGGUGGUUGGUCUAUGUGUAUCGGUAGUAGUCCAGACUCUACUGUGUACUGUACUGUACCGCGUCUCGUAUACAUCAGACAGCGUAGCUUAAUAAUAAUGUCUUUAAAGAACAGUGCCCACCUUAGGUAGGGUACUCUCGUCUCGUGCCUCAUUUG
rnacentral:rRNA from 1 species